ACAGAUACACCCUAAAUAUGUAAGACUCCUAUACCAUGAAAGAUGCUUCCAUUGCAGAUAGCACAUUAGGAUUACUCACAUAUGCAACUCAUAUGAUGUUUCAGUGGUAGAAGGUGCAGCAUGGCAGCAGCAGAUGUUAAAUUGAGAAUCGUGAAGAGACAGUUUAAUUCUUUAGAGAAUAAAUAAGAUUAUGGUUUAUAGAUUAAGAUUAUAGGAAUCUCUAAUGUUCAAAAUAUCAGAUGAGAAUUUGCCAAGUGCUCUCAAUAUGUCUACAAUGAUAUAACAAUCAUAAUUAAGCCAAAAGAUCAGUUGUUGGUUGUAAUUAAUGCCAGCUCUAAAUAAGAUCUUAAAAUAGAAACUAUCUUCAAAUUUGACAAGUUACCAUAUCUACAUAUGAAUAAAUUAGAAUAGUCGGUAAAUAUUCUGUAUUUUCCUUUUUGCAUCAUCUUUUGAGUAACCAAAUCAGAACACCCAAUUUGGUGAAAUACUUUUUCCUGUUAUAUCUGUCAUUGCUUUUGUAAGAUAAAAACAAAAAUGUAUAUGCAGUUUUGUUAAAUAUAUUUAAAUUCAAAAUUCAAAAAAAAAAUCAAUUUCAAAUUAACACAAACAAAAUUGACUUUAACUUAUGGUUUAGUUCAUGCACCCUUUAAUGUAUAUCUUAAAAGUUUUGUUGUGGACUAAGCAAAUAUCAAAUUAUCAUUUCAGAAGUACAUUUUGUUUGCAUGGUAUCAUCUUCACUAACAUUUAACAUAGUGGGUUUCGGAGUUACUGAGGUAGUUCUUAUUGAGGUGUUUCUUGUUUUUUUCUGUGGAGGAAUCAGUGGUUUCUAGUCUUCAGGAUAUGGUUUUGUCAUUCAAAGGGAACUGUCAAUGUAAUUCUGAAAUGAUAUACAUUUGGUAUUUUAUUGUCAUUGAAAAAGAAACAAUAUUAGUGCAUGAACAUUUGAACUGUGAAUAUAUAAUAUUUAAACUUUAUAAUUUAUAAUUUUUAAAUCGAUUUUGGAAAGUUAUUGUAUCAAAAUUAAAUUGUAUUUGACACAGUUUGAUGGAUGGAAAUUGAAAAUUAGAAAAACUUAAUUUAUGUUCUAAAUUUAAGCACUAGUGAAAACAAAAUUCCAAAUAUAAAUUUCUGCUUCAUUAAAACAUUUUGUUAAAUGGAUCUGCAAAAUCACUGAUAGCUAACACGGUUAAUCCACUUAAUUAGGUAGUGUCAUUAAGUAUAGUCUAAAGGAUCCUAUUAAAAGUAUUGAUGUAUUAUAAAUCAUAUUCCUAAAUCUAACAUGUCAGAUGCGAGAAACCCCCCCUUUGUUAUAGAGGGAUCGCCCUAGCAUCAGUGUCUUACAAAUUGUACUGUAAUAUACUGAACUAUAGAUUAGCUCAGUGGGUAGAUGAUAACAAUGUACUGGUUGAGGAACAGAAUGGUUUACCGCAACUUUGUAGUACAAUAGACCAAUUAUCUACUCUUACUAAUUUGAUAGAUGUGAGAAAAACACUUCCUAAAUCAAUCUUUUGCGCCUUUAUUGAUUUUAAAAAGGCUUACGACACUUCAAAGAGAUAUUUCAUGGUAUAAACUAAAUAAAAUUGGUGUUGCACAGACUUUUGUUCUGCUAUUAAGUCAAUUUAUACCAAUGUUCUGUAAGAAUAAACGGUCAUUUCACAGACUGGUUUGAUGUAAACACUGGCUUGAAACAAGGAUGUACCUUGUCGCUCAUUUUGUUCAACUUGUAUAUUAAUGAUUACCAUUUCUUAAGUCCUUUGACUGCGGAAUAGAAAUUGGUGAUGAAAAACUGUAUUUUAUUAUAUGCUGAUGAUGUUAUUAUAGCAAACGAUGAAAAAGAGCUACAACUUUUGGUAAAUGCUUUUUCUACAUGAUUUGAAGACAAUUGUAUGACAAUUAAUACAAACAAGAGUAACAUUGUACAAUUUAGUCCACCAUCUAUACCUAGAUAUGAUGUAAUUUUUAAUUGUAAUGGUCAUACUAUAAAGUCUUCUAGUAAUGAUACUUGGUCUCGUUUUAAACAAGCAUUUAGACUAUAAUAUCACUGCAAAAGCCGUUGCAUCUUCAGGGAAUAGAGCUUUAGAGAUGGUAAUAGCCAAGUGUAAACUUUUAGGGGGUGUUUGUUUCGAUGUAUUUGUAAAAUUAUAUGAAAGUUUGGUUUGUCCUAUAAUAGAAUAUGAAAAGGUAUAUGGGGUGUGAAAAGAUAUUCUUGUAUAAAUUCCAUACAUAAUGGGGCCUAUAGAUUUUCUAGAAGUAGAAAAAUAUGCACCAAAUGCUGCAGUUACUGGAGACUUGGGUAUUAUUGUAUUAUACGUUGAUAAUUUUAUUUUAUAUUGCAUUUGAUUUGUCAAUACACACAUGUUUUAUGGUGUAGGUCAGAGCACCUGACCCUGGAGACGGGAUUGCGCACUUGGCAUCCACUGACACAGGUUUCUAGAGCUUUUUGAUCGAUUAUAUCGUUUUUUAUCUCUAGUUGUUCCUGGCCGGCCUUGACUGUCUAUGAAGGGGUGCAUUUAGUCAAAAGUUUGUUUUGGUGUAUUUAGGAAAAUCAUGGAAGUAUUAUAUUUUACUUCCAUGGGAUAAUAUAUACAUAGGAAUUGUAUGAUUUUGAAUUAUAUAUGCAUUGCAAUAAUAAUGAUUUAUUGAAUUUGUGAAUAUUUAUAAUACAAUCUGGCGUCCAUCGAGCAUGACGGGCUGUCCGCAAACUAAGAUUAUGUUUGCAUUGUUUAUAUUGGGCACAAGUAUGUAGUUAAUACCACCUAUUUUUGAUAAGCAGUGGAAAAGUAUUAUUCGUUUGUGGUGUAGAUUAAAUCACAUGAGCUAAGGUCGGAUAAAUGCAAAAGUUCAUUAGUGGGCUGAUAGAAUGAUCAUUAAGCAUAAGUGUGCUGAAAACUGGAACUUUUUAGUAAGGAAAACCUUCUCUGAACUGAAUUCAAGUCAUUUAUGGUUUCCUGAAAAUAUGGACACUAAUUAUGUUGUUUGACUGAAAAACUUUUAAUGUCAAAAUGAAUUUCAGUCACAGAAGUGCUUUUCUCAAAUUUAGAUGUGGUGUUGCUCCACUAAGGAUUUAAACUGGGAAAUAUGGAAAUAUUGUUUUAGCUUGUGCCAUAUAUGUUAUAGUUUUAUUGAAGACGAAGCACAAUUAUUGUUUUAUUAAGAUGUCCUCUUUACGAAGAUUUUAGAAACCAUUUAUAUUAUGUUGCUGAAACUUAUAAUGAAAGUUUUAAUACUUUAGAUGAUAACCAAAAGUUUGUGUUUUUAUUCUCAGAUGUAAAUAUGAUACAUGUGUUCCAAAUCUGUUAUUUGAUUUUAAAAAGGCGUUGAAAUUUUAUAUAUGGAAAAUACAUGUAGUACUUUAUUUCAUAUUGUUUAAUGUAUUAUAUCUAUACAUUUUAAUAGUCUUUAUAAUUCUGUAUAGAAUGGCUCAUUUUAUUUAGUGUUGUUUUACAAUGUUGAGAGAUGACACAUUCAUAAAACAUUGAAUUAAUUGAAUUGAGUUUUUUAGUAUUACAAUCAAUAUUUGUGUAUGCCUCGCACAAAAAGGUGCAAGCAGGGCAGUACUGGACAUCUUCAGUUAUCAAGGUUUUUUUUUUAUAACAAACACUGAGAUCUGGUAUCCAGGAAAUAAAAUGAAUCAACAAUACUUUCAUGUAUUUUGUACAAUAAUAUUUUUUUCUAAUUACACCUAACUCAUGAUGCAGAUCUGUCUUCAUCUAAUACUAUGAUGAUGUACUACAGUGGCAUAAAAGUAGUUACGAUAGGUUUAGGAAGUGUUAUUUUGGUAUUUAUCAUGAUGCUUUAGAAUUAAAUUUUCCCAUGUUUCAAGGAUUUACAUUGAAAAAUAAUUUAUAAUCCAACACUUCUGGCCAGCAGUCUGUUUUGAAUAAUAAGGAUUUCUUUAAAACUGUUCAAGUAUACCUCCUUAGACAAUCUUCCUAGCAUUGGGUAUUGGAAUUUUUCAAUUUUUUACCCACUACAUUUUCAGCUUUUAGUUGGUUGUUCCAUGUCGGCGGGGUCGUCGAUGAUAGAAUUUUUGCCAUUAUUUGAUAUUUCACAUAAAAUACAAUGUAAGAGCAUUUCAUCAAUUGCUACGAUUUUGUUUAUGUAUUUAUGCUUAUCCUUGUAUGCAUGUUUAUUGUUUUAAUGAAGAUAAAAUCCGAUGUCCAGGUUAUCGGCAAUAUGAA